CCUACGGGUGGCAGCAGUAGGGAAUGUUCGGCAAUGGGGGGAACCCUGACCGAGCAACGCCGCGUGAAUGAAGAAGGUAUUCGUAAUGUAAAGUUCUUUUAACAGGGAAGAAAGAGAAAUUGGACGGUACCUGAAGAAUAAGCUCCGGCGAACGACGUGCCAGCAGCCGCGGGAAUACGUAGGGAGCGAGCGUUAUCCGGAAUGAUUGGGCGUAAAGGGUGCGUAGCUGGCCUAGGAAGGCUUUUGUAACAAUGCUGGGUUCAACCCAGUAGGGCAAAAGAUACUGCAAAGCUAGAGUAUGCCAGAGGCAAGUGGAACUCCAUGUGUAGCGGUCAAAUGCGUAGAUAUCUGUAAGAACACCAGUGGCGAAGGCGGCUUGCUGGGUCGAUACUGACAUUGAGGCACGAAAGCGUGGGGAGCAAACAGGAUUAGAUACCCGGGUAGUC
rnacentral:rRNA from 1 species